GACCCAACAGCUAGCCUCCCCUCUAAAAAAACAUAAACCUAUUCUUCACCCCCACCAAACCCUUCAACCAAACCAUUUUUCCCCCUAAGUAAAGGCGAUAAAAAAGGGCAAACCGAGAGCUACAAAAACAGUACCGUAAGGGAAUGCUGAAAGAGAAAUGAAAAAAUCAGUAAAGUAAUAAGAAGCAGAGACUAGCCCUCGUACCUUUUGCAUCAUGAUUUAGCAAGUCCCAUCCAAGCAAAAAGACUUUUAGUUUGCUCCCCCGAAACUAGACGAGCUACUCCAAGGCAGCCUAACAAAUAGGGCCAACCCAUCUCUGUGGCAAAAGAGUGGGAAGACCUUCGAGUAGAGGUGACAGACCUACCGAGCCUAGUAAUAGCUGGUUGCCUGAGAACUAAAUUAAAGUUUAGCCUUUACUUAUCUCCCACCCCCAACGGACAGCCCAAUAAAGCCCCGGCCCCGAGAUUCCAAAAGAGUUAUUCAAAAGGGGUACAGCCCUUUUGAACAAAGAUACAACUUUACCGAGCGGAUAACAAUCAUACACACCCAGGUAAGUGCCAAGGUGGGCCUAAAAGCAGCCACCCUAAAGAAAGCGUUAAAGCUCCAACACACCCCACACCCCCAAUCCUGACAACAAAAUUGUAUUCCCCCAACACUACCAGGCCUUCCUAUGUUAAUAGAAAAGAUUAUGCUAAAAUGAGUAAUAAGAGAAUACAUUUCUCUCCCCGCACAUGUGUAAGCCGGAUCGGACCCCCCACCGGCAAUUAACGGCCCCAAACCAAGAGGGUAUUAAGACCAAAACAGACAACAAGAAAACCCCCUAAAUACUCCCCGUUACCCUCACACCAGCGUGCCCCCCAGGAAAGACUAAAAAGGGAAGAAGGAACUCGGCAAAUACUACAAAGCCUCGCCUGUUUACCAAAAACAUCGCCUCUUGACCAACUCAUAAUAAGAGGUCCCGCCUGCCCUGUGACUUAAAUUUUAACGGCCGCGGUAUCUUGACCGUGCAAAGGUAGCGUAAUCACUUGUCUUUUAAAUGAAGACCUGUAUGAAUGGCAAAACGAGGGCUUAACUGUCUCCUUCCUCCAGUCAAUGAAAUUGAUCUCCCCGUGCAGAAGCGGGGAUGCUAACAUAAGACGAGAAGACCCUAUGGAGCUUUAGACGUACUGACAGAUCACGUAAAGCCUUCUUAAUUAAAAGAUAAAACCGACCGACCCCUGUCACGAUGUCUUUGGUUGGGGCGACCCCGGGGAAAUAAAAAACCCCCGAACGGAAUGAAGGCACCUCAGCUUCAUGGACAAGAGCCGCAGCUCACAAAAUCAGAACCUCUGACCUAAAGAUCCGAUACAAUCGAUCAACGGACCGAGUUACCCUAGGGAUAACAGCGCAAUCCCCUUUCAGAGCCCCUAUCGACAAGGGGGUUUACGACCUCGAUGUUGGAUCAGGACAUCCUAAUGGUGCAGCCGCUAUUAAGGGCUCGUUUGUUCAACGAUUAAAGUCCUACGUGAUCUGAGUUCAGACCGGAGUAAUCCAGGUCAGUUUCUAUCUAUAAAGUGCUUUCUUCCAGUACGAAAGGACCGAAGAAAAGAGGCCCAUGCUUAAAGUAAACCUUACCCCCACCUAAUGAAAACAACUUAAUUAGGCAAAAGGAGCCUCCCCCUGCCAAAGAUAAUAGCU
ensembl:Mt_rRNA